rnacentral:rRNA from 1 species
UACGAAGGGGGCUAGCGUUGUUCGGAAUUACUGGGCGUAAAGCGUAUGCAGGCGGAUCGUUAAGUCGGGGGUGAAAUCCCGAGGCUCAACCUCGGAACUGCCUUCGAUACUGGCGAUCUUCGAGUCCGGGAGAGGUGAGCGGAACUCCGAGUGUAGAGGUGAAAUUCGUAGAUAUUCGGAAGAACACCAGUGGCGAAGGCGGCUCACUGGCCCGGUACUGACGCUGAGAUACGAAAGCGUGGGGAGCAAACAGG